rnacentral:rRNA from 1 species
AGAGUUUGAUCAUGGCUCAGAAUGAACGCUGGCGGCGCGCCUAACACAUGCAAGUCGUACGAGAAACCGGAACUUCGGUUCCGGGAGUAAAGUGGCGCACGGGUGAGUAACGCGUAGGUAAUCUACCCUUGGGUUUGGAAUAACCCGCCGAAAGGCGGACUAAUACCGGAUAAAAUCUUUCGGAGGGAUCUGAAAGAUCAAAGGUGGCCUCUCCAUGGAUGCUACUGCCUGAGGAUGAGCCUGCGUCCCAUUAGCUUGUUGGUAGGGUAAUGGCCUACCAAGGCUACGAUGGGUAACUGGUCUGAGAGGAUGACCAGUCACACUGGAACUGGAACACGGUCCAGACUCCUACGGGAGGCAGC